rnacentral:lncRNA from 1 species
ACUUCGAAGUAUAUCAAAGUCCUGUUGUUUGAGUACGUAAUAAGUAAAUUCAUUAACCAAGUUGUAAAGCGCAAGAAAACAGAUUUUCAUAUAGUCCGGAAGAUGGUUCAAAGCAUAAUUGAUGUCCCACAUGUAGAAAACGAAAAAAAAAAACAAAAUUCAUAUGACUGGUUUAUUAAUUUGAGAAGUAACAAGCAUCUACCUAACAGUUGAAUUAAUCAAUUAGGUAUAACAUUAAUUUGCUAACAAACCUCUCAACAGCAGCAGCAAAUAGCUCAAGUUCAUCCAAAGUUCCAUAAACAUCAUAAAUAUCAUCAAUCACUGAAAUUAGAGCAAAUGUGAUUGUG